rnacentral:rRNA from 1 species
CCUACGGGUGGCAGCAGUGAGGAAUAUUGGUCAAUGGGCGCGAGCCUGAACCAGCCAAGUCGCGUGAGGGAUGAAGGCCCUACGGGUUGUAAACUUCUUUUGUAAAGGAAUAAAGUGAGGCACGUGUGCCUUUUUGUAUGUACUUUAUGAAUAAGGAUCGGCUAACUCCGUGCCAGCAGCCGCGGUAAUACGGAGGAUCCGGGCGUUAUCCGGAUUUAUUGGGUUUAAAGGGAGCGUAGACGGGUGGUUAAGUCAGUUGUGAAAGUUUGCGGCUCAACCGUAAAACUGCAAUUGAUACUGGCAGUCUGGAGUACAGUAGAGGUAGGCGGAAUUCGUGGUGUAGCGGUGAAAUGCUUAGAUAUCACGAAGAACGCCGAUUGCGAAGGCAGCUUACUAAACUGCCACUGACAUUGAGGCUCGAAAGUGUGGGUAUCAAACAGGAUUAGAUACCCGAGUAGUC